rnacentral:tRNA from 1 species
CGAAGUAGAGCAUAACUUUAAUGCAUCUCUUUUACACUGAGAAGAUAAUAUACUUAUAUUUACUUCGC